CUGCUAAUGACGAGAAAAUCAUCCUUGCUCUGCGAGCUGUGAUCGGGAUCUGAUAAGGGCUUGUCGUCGUCGGGACGCUCGUCCGAUUCGGAGACAACGACACAACGAUGAACAGCGUUGGCCUCUGAAGCAG
rfam:Haemonchus placei strain MHpl1 genome assembly, scaffold: HPLM_scaffold0000014